AAAACGAUUCAACAAAAAUAAACCAGUACAAAAGCAAAAACACCGCUACCCGAGAGAGGUCGUUUGUUUGGAUUCUCGACGCCACCGAUAACCCCAUCAGAAGGGAAGGGAGAAACGAAGGGGGGCGAAGAGCGGAAGGAUUAGGGUUUCUCGUGAGAUCGUCGUGGACUCUCGAUCUCUCCUUCCUCUCUUCUUUCUUUCGUCUUCAUUUGUCGGCGUCGUCUCACCUCCGCAACCCUGGGGCGGGGAAGCUCCCGAUCGAGCCCCUGGAGUUGCGCCGAUUGGCUUCGCGUCAUGGCCGGCAUGGAGCUCGAUUCGCCGCGGGACACCGUGAUGUCUCCGAGAGAUCGCAUCGUCCAGAGACUUAUCACCAAUGGUGUUCCCUCCGAGGUGUUAGAGCAGUCUCAAAUGGGGCUUAUAUCAUAUCUCAAGGAAAACAAACCUAUGUAUCCCGUGUUGGUCUCUUCCAUCUUACCAACCGAAGAUGAUUUGUCAGAGCUGCGAAUCUCAUCAGAUGCGUCCAGCAGUGGCAACACUGAGGAUAUGUUUUGUGAGAGUAUGUCGUGGCUAGGGUGGUUGAUGUUCGAAGCUGAACCACAAUCAUCUCUUGAGAAUUUGGCAUCAGAAGCUGUUGGUCAGCGUGCUGUGUGUGGAGCCGUUUGGGGUCAGAAUGACUUGGCCUAUCGCUGCCGAACAUGCGAGCAUGAUCCGACCUGUGCUAUAUGCGUUCCAUGUUUCCAGAAUGGCAAUCACAAGGAUCAUGAUUACUCAAUUAUGUAUACAGGUGGCGGAUGCUGUGACUGCGGAGAUGUGACAGCCUGGAAACGUGAAGGAUUCUGUUCCAAGCACAAAGGAACUGAGCAGAUGCAACCUUUACCAGAAGAGUUGGCAAAUUCCAUCAGGCCUGUUCUAGAUGUUCUUCUCGUACUCUGGAAGGACAAAUUAAUACUGGCUGAAAACCAGAGGAAUCCAAGGGAACAUAACAAAACUGAUGUGUCUGCAGGGAUGGGGAAUAGGUUAUCUUCUGCAGUUAUUGAGAUGUUGCUGGACUUCUGCAAAUGUAGCGAAAGCCUUCUUAGUUUCAUAUCAAAGAAAAUGUUUGAGUGUACCGAUUUGCUCGAUGUUCUUGUGAGGGCAGAGAGGUUCUUGCACAAGAACGUUGUGAAGAAGCUACAUGAAUUACUUCUAAAAUUGCUUGGGGAGCCUGUUUUUAAAUAUGAGUUUGCUAAAGCUUUUACGAGAUAUUAUCCUGUUUCUGUAAGUGAAAUUAUCAAAGAGUGGACUGUUAAAGCAUUUGAGAAGUAUUCGCUACUCUCAACAUUCUCUGUGCAAUUGUUCACUGUGCCUACGUUGACACCACGACUUGUACGAGAGGUGAACCUGCUGGGUGUACUUUUGGGAUGCUUGAAGGACCUGUUCCUUUUUUGCAUUCAGGAAGACGGUCAAUUACAGGUAAGGAAGUGGGAACAUCUCUAUGAGACAAUAAUUCGUUUGGUGGAAGACACACGAUUUGUCCUGAGUCACAAAGAGGUUCUUGCAUACAUAACUCAUGAGAGACCUGAUAUUUCAAGAGCUUGGCUGAAGCUUUUAUCUCUUGUGCAAGGCAUGGAUCCCCAAAAGAGAGUAACAACUACCCCUAUUGAAGAAGAACAUGAGUAUCUUUCUGCACCUUUCGUGCUGGGACAUUUCCUAAGCAAAGUUCAUAAUCUUUUGGUGCAAGGAGCAUUUUCUGCUUUCGAAACCAAAGAAAGGAAGAUCACUUCUUUUUCUUGCCCAGAUUCUGAAUGGUUAGAUGAUAACGAAGGUUAUCGUCAUUCAAAAGUAGGCAGAAUUUCACAAGACAGCUCUGCUUGCAGUAUAAAUAGAACAAGCAGUGGAUUGGAUGGCUCAUCCCAACAUAGUGAUGUGAAGUACGGUGGUGUUGACCACCUAUCUGUUCCAUCACCUGCUAUUUGGUUGAUUUUCGAGUGCCUUAAAGCAAUUGAUGACUGGUUCUGCCAUGCAAGGAACAUAUCACUCUUUGUUGAUGAUAUGAACUACAGUAGUCUUAGUUGUUUUAGAAAGAAAUUAUUCAAGUCAAAAAAGGGUGCGAAUAGUAGCAAAAUUUUUGGGUUGUCUGUGUCUAGGCAGGGAGUAGAUAAGCAUCAGUCACUUCCUUCUGGUGAGCACCAUGAGGUCUCUGAUUUAAUGGACACCGACGGAUGCCUUGAACAUACAACUUCAAGUAGGAUAUCAGAUGAUAGUAUCGUGGAGGUAGAUCCUGGUGCUGAAUCAGAAGCAUUUGGUAUGUUAAAUAUUGCCGAUUGGCCUGACAUAGUUUAUGAUGUUAGUUCACAGGAAAUAUCAUUUCACAUUCCUUUACAUCGUUUGCUUUCAUUAAUAUUGCGAAAAGCGAUGGAAUAUUGUCACAAUGAGAUUGAAAAGCCAGAGAAGGCAAGUAGUGGCUUAUCACUUCCUUCAUCAGCAUGGGGUCAUGAGUUUUUUGGGCAAGUUUUGAGAGGCUUACAACCUUGUGGAUUUUCGGCCUUUCUGAUGGAGCAUCCUCUUCGGUUACGUGUGUUUUGUGCCCAAGUACGUGCUGGCAUGUGGCGCAGGAAUGGUGAUGCAGCCAUAUUUAACUCUGAGUUUUAUCGUGCUGUCCAGUGGUUUAAUCAAGGGCUAGAAUCUGAUCUUUUCUUGCUGCAAUGCUGUGCUGCAUUAGCUCCACCAGAAUUGUUUGUCGAGAGAAUUCAAGAAAGAUUUGGAUUAGUAAAUUAUACAUCUUUGAGUCUUUCAGAGUGCAAUGAGUAUGAGGCAGUUCUGGUGCAAGAGAUGCUUACUCUUAUCAUACAGGUUGUCAAAGAGCGCCGGUUUUCUGGCCUUUCUUCUGUUGAUAAUUUGAAGAGAGAAUUAGUUUAUAAACUCACUGUUGGUGAUGCCACCCGUAGCCAUCUGGUGAAGGCUCUUCCUCGUGAUCUUUCAAACAGUGAUCAACUUCAAAAUGUUCUGGAUAUGCUUGCCACAUAUUCGAAUCCAUCUGGCAUGAAGCAGGGUAAAUAUUCUCUUCGAAAAGCUUACUGGAAAGAGUUGGACCUGUAUCACCCUCGCUGGAAUUAUAGGGACUUGCAAGUGGCAGAGGAGAGAUAUUUUCAGUUCUGUAAAGUCUCUGCUCGAAACGUCCAGUUGCCACAAUGGACGAACAUUUAUAUUCCCUUGAAAACAAUUUCUAGAAUAGCUACAUCAAAAGCAGUCCUCAAAAUUGUCCGUGCAGUUUUCUUUUAUGCUGCAUUUGUGGAUGUUUCACUUGCAUCUCGUGCUCCUGAUGGAGUUCUUAUAACAGCUUUACACUUACUUUCUCUUGCUUUAGAUAUUUGUGGCUCACAGAGUCAAACACGUAGUACUAAUUAUGGUUCUGGUAUUGAUUUGUCACAUCCUGACCACUCAUUCAUGGAAGUUUCACAUUAUGUGGAAGAUUUACCUCCUAUACUGGCUCAUGCUACUGAACAACUUGACAUAGCUGCACAUGGUGAAUCAGCAUUGUGCAAAAACCAAAGCAUGUUAUCCUUGCUAGUUUUACUGAUGAGGAAAUACAAGAAAGAAAGUGACAGUCAUUAUUCUGAGACGAGGCAUUGUAACAUUUCAUUACUCGUCGAGACAUUAGUGAAGAAAAUUGCUGAACUGAACACCGAUUGCUUGGUUAUGCUUCAAAGAAUAGCACCAGAAGUGGUCUAUCAUAUGCGUAAGCAGCCUGCAGAAGAUGCUCCAGAGAGGUCAGCAUCAGCUUCUGACGCUGAAGAGCGGCGGGCAAAAGCCCGAGAGCGACAGGCCGCUAUAAUGGAAAAAAUGAGAGCUGAACAAUCAAGAUUCAUGGCCAGUUUGAAGUCAACACCUAACAGUGAAGCAGAUGGCUCGAUAUCCAAAGAGGAAAAGUUAGACCACGAGAACAAUGUUUCUGAGGAAUCAGCAAUUGUUUGCUCUUUUUGUCGAGAUCCACACUCCCAAAGUCCUUUGUGUUUCCUGAUUCUUCUCCAGAAAUCCUGUCUUACAACUUUUGUUGAGAGAGCUCCUCUGUCCUGGGAAGAUGUAGGCCAGCAAAACGAAAUUCCUUCAACUGGUAUAGAAGGAUCAAAUGGUCCAGGUGGAUCUGAUUCAAAAAAUAUAGUGCAGUCAAUUCAGAAUGUAGGUGUUGAAUUCCCCUUUGACAUGGAACCUGCAGAAGUUGAUAGGUCUUUGGUCUUUCUGAAUGAACAACUGCCUGCUUUUAGAAACAUUCAACCACUUGAUGUCUUUCCUGGUACUGACACAGAACUUAGUGCAUCCCUUGAGAGUAUGGAGGAUGAUAUUUACCGGUCUAUUACAAGGGAUAUGCACAAUUCUAAAUCUAUUUUAGAUACUCUGGAUGCUGAAAAGAAAUAUUUAACCAAGGAUGCUGUAUUGGGUUCAAGAAAAGGAAGCAUUGCAGAAUUUUUUGCGCUUGGCGAGUAUGUUUUAAGUCUAUCAAGAGAGUCAAAACAAAAUCACUCUUUCAUUUUUGGCCCUCAACGCAUUGUGAAUUUAGCAUCAAGGUCAACUGCUUCAAGUACUACGAUUAGUGGAUUUGGUCCAAGUGAUUGUGAUGGAAUUCAUAUUUCUUCUUGUGGGCAUGCUGUGCAUCGGGAAUGCCAUGAUAGAUAUCAGGUGUCUUUGAAGCAAAGAUACAUUGGGAAUCUUGGCUUUGAAGGAAGUCAUAUUGUGGAUCCUGACCUGGGAGAGUUACUUUGUCCAGUAUGCCGGAGAUUUGCGAACGCCAUCCUCCCAGCAUGCACUGGUUUCUCCAAUAAACUUUCAACGACAAAAGAAUCAGCCUUCAGCAGUUCAAUGCCAAAUGACGUUCCUUCAACCUCAUCAGAUAUGAACUGUAGCAACUUACACAUUGUUCUUGCAUCAUCUCUUCUUCAAAAUACAGCAAAAAUUGUUGGACAGUGCAGAAAUCUAAAGGUUUUGUCUGGAAAAAUUAAUGAGACCAUGAAUUCAGUUUUAGAGCCUUCCCUCAGAAAAUUGUAUAUGCUGUAUUAUUCUCACAGUUACAGUAGUUUGUCAGCCCCUGGUUGGCUCAGUCGAUCCUUAAUUCUAUGGGACACACUUAGGUACUCAGUUACAGCUACAGAAAUUGCUGCCCGGGCAAAGUUGAACACAAAUUCACUUGGAUCUCAAUCUUGCUUAGAAUCUUUGACUGAGGAACUUCGCUCUUCUAGUGGGUAUAUAAUGUCAGUUCUGGUCCAUGUUGCUCAGUCUGCUGGCAGUUCUAAUUGUCUUGAAGUUCUCUUGAGGUUCAGCAGUCUUCAACUUCUAGCAGGGUCUAUUUGUUCUGGUGUGUCCGGUGAUAAUUACUUGUCCAAUGGAGAUAAGCAAAAAGGCACAACUUCUUCCUCGUUUGAAUGUUAUGACAAUGGGGAAGCUUUUCCUGACAUACAAUUCUGGAAACGUGCUGCGGAUCCUAUUCUUGCUCAUGAUCCUUUUUCUUCUUUUAUGUGGGUUCUUUUCUGCCUCCCAGCCCCUUUUAAAGCCUCAAGAGAAUGUUUCAUUGCUCUUGUGCAUUUAUUUUAUGCUGUUUGCAUUGUUCAGGCUAUGAUUACAUGCUAUGGCAAUCAAAGUUUUGAUGUAUCAAGUUUUGGCAGCAACGUUCUUAAUGAUGUUUGCAGGACAAUGGCAGAAUCCGACCGUGUGAGACAGUAUUUUGUCUCCAGCUAUAUUGAUCACCUUUACCAUCCGAAGGAUAUGAUACGCAGACUAACAUUUCCAUACCUUCGUAGAUGUGCACUACUUUGGAAUUUGCUAAACUCUUCAACAUUGUCCCUGUCAUAUGACAGUCACACAUGGGAAAGGUCAUAUCUUUGUUCAAAAGAUGUACAAUUGGAUAGUGAUAGCCAACUAAGAGUAGAGCUCAAUAAUAUAAGGGAAUUGGAGGACAUGUUUAUGAUUUGCUCAUUGGAAUUGGUUCUCAAGAAUGAGGUUGUGCAUGCCUUGGCUUUGAGAUGGUGUGACCAUUUCUGUGAUGAGUUUGGAGUUCGUAAGUACAGAGGCGUUUUAGCUUCAUCUCCUGCUGUUCCCUUUAAGCUGAUGGAACUUCCUCUCAUCUAUCAGGAUCUACUGAAAAAGUACAUAAAGCUACCAUGCUCUAAUUGCAAGUCUGUCCCAGAGGAACCUGCUUUGUGCUUGCUUUGUGGUAAAUUAUGUUCGCUAUACCGGAAGUCUUGCUGCAGGCAAAGCAAAUGCUUAAAUCAUGCAAUGAUCUGUGGGGCUGGUAUUGGUGUAUUCUUGCUGGUCAGGAAAACCACAAUCUUAUUGCAGAGGUCAGCUCGUCGGACCCUCUGGCCAUCUCUUUAUUUGGAUGCCUUUGGUGAAGAGGACCAUGACAUGUCCCGAGGGAAGCCUUUGUAUCUGAGCAAGGAGCGCUAUGCUGCUCUUACAUAUUUGGUGGCAUCUCAUGGUCUCGACCGGAGUUCUGAAGUGCUUCGACAAACGACCACCAACUUAAAUGGUCUUUAUUAGGAUUAUUUUAAGAGGAGCCAAUGAUGGUGCAGCAUGAGAAUCGUAUGUAUCAGCGGGGCCCUUUUUUCCAAUAAUUAAUUGUCUUCUGUGAAGAAGAUGAAGAGAAGUGGCUAGGAAAGAAGCUGAUGGAUCUGUCAAUCAUUGUCACUGGAAUGCUGCUGUCAUCAGGCUUUGCUGUUGGGCAGGUUCCAUUAUGAUGUGCCAUCAAAAAGAGAUCAGGGAUUCAACUGUGCAAGUCUGAAAGAGAAAGAUGUGAGAGAUUUAACUCCCAUGAAGUUUAUUUAUGGGUGUUUUCCAAACUUCUUCCUACCUUUGUACUGUUAGAACUUGCCACACUCAUCGUCAUUUGCAGCCACCACUGCACUUGUAUCAGCUUUUGGGAACUAAGGCUUAGCUAAGUGAUUUUGAGGGCAACAAAAUUUGAGGUUAGAAAAUAAAUACUCUGUAGAAAAGCAUAUCUUAUCUUGGCACACUUUCAAUUUGGGUCUUGCAAUUUAUGUGAGCUAAUUUUUUUUACAAAUAAUAUAAUAAUGUUUAACUUAAUUGGAGUUAGUGAUGAUAUAGUAUUGAGAUCUUUUGUGUUUUGAUGGAUUACAAGUGGGUAAUGUGCAAUUUUUGGUCUAGCUAGAAUAUUUGGGUCAUGUUAGGGCAUGGUAUAUUUAGAUUUUAAUAAUAUGGUCGUGCUCUUUUUGGUUUUUCUUUUUAUUUUCUUCAUAUUUUUAUUUUUUGACGAUUGAUGGAAAAAUGUUUAACAGAAUUGGAGUUAACAUCGAUUUAAUAUUGAGAACUUUUGCGUUUUGAUGAAUUACAAUUGGGUCAUGUUUGAUUUGGUCUAGCUAGUAGAUAAGGGUCGCAUUAGGGCAUGGUUUUUCUUUUACAAUUGUCCUUUUUAGUUGUCCCUUGGCACUUCUAUGGUGGGUCAGCAAGUUCUUCGUUGCACAUUUUCCAAUUUAUUCCUUUUUUUAAUCUGUAGCCACAUAAAGUAUUCAUGGUGCUGUUUGUGGAAAUAAUUAAAAGAUAACAGCAUGUAACUGUUUGGCAUCAGAACUGCAGUGAUUAAGAUAAUAUAGGUUUCUGUCAUAUGGAAGAUAAUUGGUGUCAAGGAAGCAAAUAUGGUUACAUUUUCAAAUAAGCUUUCGAUGCCUUGAUUCACAACAGAUCCUGAAUUGGUGGGAGCUUCAUGCAGUAGGGAUGCUGUUUACAGUAUCCCUUGUACAAUGUGUGUGAAAGUAGUUAGUUGGCAAGAACCUAGAUAAGUUGCAAAGCACUUUCUUUUUUGGUGACCUAUGCAUAUGAGUAUUUGCUUUGAAGAGAAUAUUGGAACAAUAGUGCAAAAAUAUUUUGUUAAGAAAAUAUCUAAAAUCUUGUUUACAGCUGUGCAGUGUUUAAUUAAACAAUUUUGUUGUUUUGAGCUUUUACUUAAUCAAGCUGGAAAUUUUCAUUUUUGUGCCCCCCAAAAAAAAAAAUCUAAGUCUUGCUUUUACUGCUGCUCAGAACUAUACAAGUAUAUAAGUUAUAGUUUUGGUAUAUAUUCAGCAUGACCAAAUGGUGAAAUUAUGACAAAUUUCUAGGGUUGUCUUUUCAUUUUUGACUCAAAUACUAUCUUGUAACAUAUACUAGUAAUUCCAUUUUUUUUAAUUUUUCUUUAUGAUAUGAUGUUAUGGGUCCAGAGUGUGGAAAUGAUGGUGAUUUCGUUCACUGAUCUAAGCUAAAUUAAUGUACUCUUGUGCUGGAGCUCAUCUGUGUAAUAUCUACCCUUUUUCUUUUAAGAGAAAGGUUCAGUAAUGGUGUAUGGACAAAUAUGUGAGCCAACAAGCUAAGGCGACUCUUAUCUACUAUUUAUGUUAUGAACUUUUCCCCCCUUUUCUGUUAAUUUGCUAUAAGACAUAUUGGUGUUAUUUCUGAACUGUAGAACUAUCUCGUUUGAUUUCCACAUCAAGCCUUUGUUGACCUUGAAAUCUCGUGAUUCAACUAGUUACCAGCUUGAUGGAGCAGCUUCUCCUAAUUGUUACAAUUGCUUGCUUAGUUACCAGCUUGUCCUAACUGUUUCCCUUGCC